rnacentral:rRNA from 1 species
AGAGUUUGAUCAUGGCUCAGGACGAACGCUGGCGGCGUGCUUAACACAUGCAAGUCGAACGGAAAGGCCCUUCGGGGUACUCGAGUGGCGAACGGGUGAGUAACACGUGGGUGAUCUGCCCUGCACUUUGGGAUAAGCCUGGGAAACUGGGUCUAAUACCGAAUAUGACCACGCGCUUCAUGGUGUGUGGUGGAAAGCUUUUGCGGUGUGGGAUGGGCCCGCGGCCUAUCAGCUUGUUGGUGGGGUAAUGGCCUACCAAGGCGACGACGGGUAGCCGGCCUGAGAGGGUGACCGGCCACACUGGGACUGAGAUACGGCCCAGACUCCUACGGGAGGCAGCAGUGGGGAAUAUUGCACAAUGGGCGCAAGCCUGAUGCAGCGACGCCGCGUGAGGGAUGACGGCCUUCGGGUUGUAAACCUCUUUCAAUAGGGACGAAGCGCAAGUGACGGUACCUAUAGAAGAAGGACCGGCCAACUACGUGCCAGCAGCCGCGGUAAUACGUAGGGUCCGCGCGUUGUCCGGAAUUACUGGGCGUAAAGAGCUCGUAGGUGGUUUGUCGCGUUGUUCGUGAAAACUCACAGCUUAACUGUGGGCGUGCGGGCGAUACGGGCAGACUAGAGUACUGCAGGGGAGACUGGAAUUCCUGGUGUAGCGGUGGAAUGCGCAGAUAUCAGGAGGAACACCGGUGGCGAAGGCGGGUCUCUGGGCAGUAACUGACGCUGAGGAGCGAAAGCGUGGGGAGCGAACAGGAUUAGAUACCCUGGUAGUCCAA